CCGACAAAGUGGUUGUGGAAUG
rnacentral:miRNA from 12 species